GGAGACUUCGCCUAGUCUGGUCUAUGGCGCCGCACUGCUAAUGCGGUUGGGGUUUUAUAGCCCCUCCCGGGUUCGAAUCCCGGAGUCUCCGCCA
rnacentral:tRNA from 1 species